rnacentral:pre_miRNA from 1 species
AUAGACUGCAUGACAACAAGAGAGAGCACGCCCGUAAACAUCCAUGGCCCUUUCAUGGGUGCCGACAAGCGUGCUCUCUCUCGUUGUCAAACAACGUCAAU